CCCAAUAGAAAAGGAACUGAAGUCUUCCACCAAACCCUGCAUAGCUGACAUAGGAGGCAUCGAUCCUGGAUGUUGAGAUGUUAGAGGUGGUGGUGCUGCAUAGCCUCCUUGUUGAGCAAGAUAUGGGGUAGAAGCUGCUGGCACUGGUGGGACAUAGCUGCCGUAGGAGGCGUCGAUCCUGGAUGUUGAGAUGUUAGAGGUGGUGGUGCUGCAUAGCCUCCUUGUUGAGCAAGAUAUGGGGUAGAAGCUGCUGGCACUGGUGGGACAUAGCCGCCUGGCUGAGAAGGAUAUGAUACCGAUUGUCUAGGUGGAGUCUGUGUAAACCCUGAAGGCUGCUGA
rnacentral:lncRNA from 1 species